UGGACAGUAGUGGGGGUUUUGUUGACUGUAGAUCUCGGGGUUUGUCAGGUGUGUUGAUUCAGUGUUUUGAUUACAGUUUUUUAAAGUCACUUAAAGGAGAGGGAUGUUUUUAUGAGUGUUUAUAAGGCUAAUAAAUCUCGCUAAGUUGUUGUGCCGGCUCCAUAAAAGACGCCUGAAUAUACACAGGAAUCUGAAAAAUUGUUUUCAUUCCUUAUGCUUCAGGAAUGAAAGAAUAUCAGCUUUAAUUUUACUCUGAAGAGUGAAAAGAAAUAGGAGCCCACAGGCUACUGACCUGAGAGGUGACGAUCAGUGGGCACCCUCGUUGCAUGGGAAGACAAAUCCCAAGCCACUAGCUAAGCAGAAUUCAAAAGCAAAUAUUUACAGAGGACAGGAGAUGCAGGGUAGACAUGGAAAUUGCAAUGAAAAGAAUUGCUUCUCUGGAUGCAGCAUUCAUCAGCACAAAGCCUGCUAAGCUGAUAUUAUAUGAGUGUGAGCCUGUGGUCACUGACUUGCUGUAGAGGAGCUCCAGUCUUAGCAAAGACCUUGGCAUGUUGGAGUGUGUUAAAUUUCCUUCCACAGAAGGGGAGAGAAAAAAAUCUUAUCUUUGACCAGAUGAAAGGUUGUGAGACCUUUUUCUACUCCAUGUAAUAAAAAGAGCUGUUUACAAUUCUGAGAGCACUGUGUGUAAUGUCACAUUAAGUACUGCAUUUAGAAAAUGUGCCAAGGUAUUUUAGCAAUUAAAUCUCCUGGUAGGAAAACAAAACUCAGCCAACCAUCCCC
rnacentral:lncRNA from 1 species